rnacentral:rRNA from 1 species
GCCAGCAGCCAUAUCACCCUACAACCCACUGAAGCUAAGCAGCUGUGAGCCUGGUCAGUACCUGGAUGAGAGACCUCCUGGGAAAAACUAAGGUUGCUGCUGGAA